rnacentral:rRNA from 1 species
GACGAACCGUGCGAACGUUAUUCGGAAUCACUGGGCUUAAAGGGCGCGUAGGCGGCUUUGCAAGUGACGGGUGAAAGCCCUCGGCUUAACCGAGGAACUGCCUGUCAGACUGUGAGGCUUGAGACCGGGAGAGGUGAGUGGAAUUCCCAGUGUAGCGGUGAAAUGCGUAGAUAUUUGGGAGGAACACCAGUGGCGAAGGCGGGCUCACUGGACCG